AUGGUCCUCCUUCCAAAAACACUAGCCCCAACCACCCCCGAUGCAUUUAGACCAAUCUCUCUACAAAACUGUACCCCAAAAGCGGUGGCCAAAGUUCUUACAAACAGGGUCAAACCACUCAUCCCUCUACUCAUUCACUACGACCAAACAGGAUUUCUUCAUGGCCGCAACAUUCCAGAAAAUUUUAUUUACGCUGCUGAUAUUCUCGGCGCUUGCCACACAAGAAAGGCCCCCACCAUGGUCAUCAAGCUGGACUUCAGAAAAGCAUUUGACUCCAUUUCUUGGUCCUCUCUAACAUCGAUCCUACAAGCGAGAGGUUUACCUCCUAUCUUCUGUGCAUGGGUCCAAAACAUUCUCCACACUGGCAAAAUGGCUAUUCUCCUCAAUGGCACUCCGGGGUCCUGGAUCCAAUGUAGAGCUGGCCUUCGACAAGGUGAUCCCUUUUCGCCGUAUUUAUUCAUCAUCAUCGCAGAUGUCCUUCAAAGACUGAUCGCACAGGCUUUCAGGCAAAACGAACUAUGCCACCCCCUCCGUUCGAAUGAACCACCAGUAACCCUACAAUACGCCGAUGACACACUUAUUAUUGCUGCUGCCAGCGUCGCAGCAACCACUAUUCUCAAAAACACCCUGCAUGACCUCGCUUCUCACCAUUGCCACAGAUGA
rnacentral:rRNA from 1 species